GUCGUCACUGGUGUAUCGUUUGGACCGGUAUACCGAGUUACCGGUCGCGCCGAGUGUGAUUUUAAAACAUCAUAAUAUACUAGAAUUAUUAUUAUUGUUACUGUCAUCUUAAAUUGGCACAUGCUGCCGGACGACUAUCAUGUUGUGCACGGACGUGUCAUCCAACAGGUUGAAGUAUAACUACACGUGGAUGGCGAACCUGCACGGCCUGAACCUGACGCAGGAAGAUCUGCAGUAUCUGAUCAACAUAACGUCGUUGGUCCCGGACGACGGGUCACCGAACCACCACCACCAGACGGACGCUGGUUGCUACAACUGCGGCGGCGCCGUGAAGAGCUACUCGCUGCUGUUCCGGGAAGUGCACGGCUACGUCAGCCUGUUCCUGUGCUUGUUCGGCGCACUGGCCAACGCGCUCAACAUCGCGGUGCUGACGCGCAAGGACCUGGCCGGUUCGCCGAUCAACCGGAUUCUGUGCGGGCUGGCUCUGGCCGACCUGGCCCUGAUGGUCGAGUACACGCCGUUCACGUGCUACAUGUACUUGACCACCGCCAAAAAGGAGGAGUUCUCGCACGUGGGCGCCGUAUACGUGUUGCUGCACACGUACGUGUCCCAGGUGUUGCACACCACGUCCAUAGCGCUCACGCUCGUCCUGGCCAUGUGGAGAUAUGUCGUCGUCAAAUUACCCAACUCUAUGCACACUAUAUGUUCCGACCGGCGAUGUACUAUAGCCAUCAAAUUAUCGUACCUAUUGCCGUUUAUUAUUUGCAGUCCAACGUUUCUAGUGUUCGAAAUACUGGAAACAAAAGUCGUCGAAAACGGCACUGUGGCCACGCUAUAUCAUUUGGGCUUGAGCACAAUAGCAAGAGUGAAUCAUGAACUAUUGUACAUGAUACAUCUAUGGACAUAUGCUGUGAUCAUCAAACUACUGCCUUGCCUAAUACUUACCGUCGUUACCAUAUCUCUGAUAAACGCGUUGAGUGAAGCAUCAGAAAGGAAAGCAAAGCGACUUCCGACCCAGCAACAAAUGGCUCGUAUAAGAAAUAUGAAACUCAAGAAAAGGAUGGACCGAACAAGCCGUAUAAUGAUUGCAGUAUUGUUAUUAUUUCUUGCGACAGAAUUCCCGCAAGGAAUACUGGGUCUAUUAAGCGGCAUACUGGGAAGGGGCUUUUUUCGAACUUGUUACAAUUUAUUUGGCGAACUUAUGGAUAUGUUGGCUCUCUUGAAUGCAUCGUUAAACUUUGUAUUUUAUUGCUGCAUGAGCAAACAGUUUCGUGUAGCGUUUGGACAAUUAUUCAAAACGCAGCCUAGCAUUAUGUUUAAGCCCAGCAAUAUUUUGGAGACAUUCGUAUAGGGUUUGGGGGAGGAUUAGGACAGGCGGAUUGAAACCGUGAAAAUUAACCGAAUAUUGCCAAUAUGUCUGCUAUUUAAUCCUGAUGGAAAUUACGGAACGUACUCAAGCAUAUUGAUAGAUGGACAUGCUGUACUCGCGUCCCAUGCCCGUGGCCG
rnacentral:misc_RNA from 1 species